rnacentral:lncRNA from 1 species
UAUAUGUUUACCUAUGGUCAUGGUCAAGUAAUAAAUCGUGACUAAAUGUACACUUAUAAUCAUAGGUAAAGUGAGCGACCAUGACAAUAUGUAAGUUUAUGGUCAUGGUCAAGUAAUUUACGAUGAUUAAAUGUCAACUUAUGGAUUAAUGUAAACUUAUGGUCACGGUCAAUUCCUUAAUCAUGACUAAAUGUAUGUCUAUAGUCACGGUUAAUUAAAUGACUGUGGCUUAAUAUAAUCUUAUGGUCACGGUCAAUCCCCUACCCGUGACUAAAUGUAUGUCUAUAGUCACGGUUAAUUAAAUGAUUGUGACUAAAUGUAAUCUUAUGGUCACGGUCAAUACCCUAACCAUGACUCAAUGUAUCUUAUGGUCAUGGUCAAUUUAUUAAUCGUGACUAAAUGUAGGUAUAUAGUCACUGUUAAUUAAUUAACCGUGACCAAAUGUAUCUUAUGGUCACAGUUAAUUCAUUAAUCGUGACUAAAUGUAAGUAUAUUGUCACAGUUAAAUAAGUGACCGUGACUAAUUGUUAGGUCUAUUAUGACAAAAUGUACACUUAUGGUCAUGACUAUUAAUGACCAUGACUAAAAUUAAUCAUAUGAUGUUUGCCCUAUCCCCAAAUUUUGGCGACGGUUCAUUAUUGAUCGUGACUAAAAGUACACUUAUGGUCACAAUUUUUUAGUGGUUGUGACUAAAAUUUGUUAUAUUUAGACAUUGGUCUUUUAUAAAUUCAGAUUUCCCAAACUUGUUAUAAACUUGAACAAACUCAUUUUAGACCUGUAUAUGCAAUUAAAACAAGUUCAAUAUAUUACAAUCAAUUAUCCCAAGCCAAUUAAAAACUUAUAUAUUAAUAUAAGUCAUUAAAUAACAAAAACAUAAAAUAACAAAAAAAAAACCAAACAAACAAAUAACAAAGAGAUUCAAAUUUAGUUUCAUAUUUUAACAUAAUAUAACAAAUCAACCAACCAAACAUCACAUAAUAGUCAUAGAAAGCAAAAAAAGUUAGGAAAAUCUAUCAUAUAAAUAAGUAGCAUAAUCUUCAAAAAAGUUAAGAGAAUCUAUCAUAUAAAGAUGUAGAAAAAUCUUCUAAUUUCUACUGUUUUUGCUGAAAUUAUUGCAUCAUUUGCAUCAUCUGUUCUUGAAUUUGUACUUGCAUUUUUCUUUGCAUUUCCAUCAUUUUUUCUUCAAACUCUUCUUUCACUUCUUCUCGUGUCUUCCUUUGAACUUCUAUCAACCUCUCUUCAAAUGUUUCUUUCACAUGUGAGAGUUCUUCUUUCACAUUUGAGAGUUCUUCAGUUGCAGUUGUAAACUUUUGUUUUGCAACUAUUAGCAUCUCUUGGGCAUUUUCAAGUUGUGUUGAAAGAAUAGCUCCUGAUCGUCUUCUACUAGUAGAACCAAAGACUGAGGUAGGAGUAGGACCAAAUCCAUACUCUUGAACACGACCAUGCCUCUCUAGACCCAUGACUUGAGUAUAUAUCUCAUCUACAGAUGUAGAUGCUACAGAUGUAGAUGAUAUAGAUGUAGAUGAUCCAGAUGAUGCAAAAGCAGAAGAAGAUGUCCCAUCAGGUUGGGAUAGUAAUUGCUGAUAUUGAUCUUGGAAUUAUAAAAAACAAAAAAAAAAAUUGUUAGACUUUUAAAAUAAUUUUUGUAUGUGGCUAUGAUUGAAAUACAAUUAUACAAAAUUUAUUUACUUCAUUACCAUAAUCUCCUUAGAAUGAUCAUCAAUAGGUGUCCCAUAUUUUUUUUUGUGUGUUAGGGCAAACAUCUCAAUUCUAUUAGGAUUACUUCGAUCAUCCUUCUUUUGUGCCUAUUCUUACAAGUAAAAGAAUUGAGUUAUUUAUGAUGAAUUAUUUAUGUACAACCAAAUCAUAUUAAUAAUAAAUUUGCAACCUGUUCAUAUUGAAUUUGAGCAUAACUUUUUGAUCCCGAAGUAUGUUUUAUCACUUGCUUUGCCCUAUUUUUUUUCUGAGAUAUCCUACAUCAAUUAAAAAAUAGCAAGUAACCUAUAUAGGUAAUAGAAACAUAAUAAAAGUUAUAUACAUGAAGUAUUAGGUUAGAUAUAACUAAUAAAUAUCAUUUUAUGUGAAUAUGAGUAUCAUAAGAUACACUAUCAAGAAAAGAUCAUAAUCUUUACCUUGGCCUCAGGUGUACCCCAAAAGUGGAUGAGCCACCUCCAAUCAUCAUCCGAUAAGUGUGGAGGUCGACGGCGCAAUCUCUUCUCAUCUAUAUUAUAAGGGUUAUAAUACUUAGCCUUCAUUUUAUUUCUGUAGCUUCUAAACAAAUUUCCACAACAUUGAAGAAUGUAGCUCUUACAUGUUUCUUCUAGUUCAUAUUUUUCCUGUAUUGCAUUAAAAUGUCAUGUAUAAAUAAGAGGUAUAAUUUUUAAACAAUAACAUUACAAUUUAGAUUGAAUAGUAACUAGCAUAUACCAAUACUAAGGCCCAAAUCUUUUCUUUCACAUCUUCACUAACAUGAUUCCAAUCUUGAACUUGGAUGGGUACAUUGUGUUGAGAUCACACCAAUGUUCCCAUAUAGCUUGACAAUCUUUCCCCUUUUCCAUCAUAAACAACUUGCCCUCUGGUAUUGAAUCGUGUAGUUUUUUUUUUCCCUGGGUUUCAUACUAAGUAAAUCUAAAUUACGUGUUGGGCCACGUGUCCUCUUUUUGCUAGAGGAGGAACCUAUUAAGAGUAAUAAUGAAAUUAAAAGAAACAUAAUUUACUUAUCUUAUAUAAAAUUAAACAUUAAAAACCUAUCAUUCAAGAAAUUAAACAUAUGUAAACACAUUUAUCAUAUGUAAAGUUAAACAUAAUCUUCUUAAUUAUACCAACAACAGAAGGAUCUGAAGAAUCAGAAGGACCAGAAAUACUAAGAGUAGUAGUUGCAGCAGGCUGUAUGUUUGAGAGUUGUUGUAGUGAUUCGACUCAUGGUAGCUUAGCUUUAAAGGCGUAUCAACAAAAUUUAUACCUUAAAUACUAUUACUAAAGUAGCCAAGCUACUAUAGCAUAGUGGUUCUAGGAUCGUUCACUGGGAAGGGUUUUCGCAAACACAAGUGAUAUUCAAAUUAGGAAAAUAGGUGAUUUUCUUAUGGAUGUUAGCUUUAAAAGAAGAUGUAAAUGUUUUAGAAAGAUUUAAACUAAUCUAAGCUAACAUUAAAGACUAAAAUGAAAGGGUGUAAAAACAAGUUUCUCAAAGAUAGGAUAGCUAUGCUCUGGCUCUUAUGCAAAUUGGAAAUCUCAGGAUAGACUCCUCGCGUUGGGGUUGCAACUAUGGUGAUGCUUGCUUCCCGAACCGGUAUGGAUUUAGCAAAUCAAGUUUUAAUCCUUUAAAAUGGCAAAACAGAUGGUAGUGAAUUUCAUCAAUGGUUAUUCACCUUAGACUUCCUUUGAAUGGCUCGUAAGAGAUAACUAAUGGUCUAAAGCCAAAAGCUUACCAAAUAUUGGCAACUCAAAGUCAUUCCAGGUGAUAAACUCACCUUUCAAUGGCCAUUGAAAUUGUUUCUAACGGAUUAAUGCAAAACUGGGAAUUGAAAACCUCACCUUCCAAUAGCUCGUAGGAGAUAACUAAUGGAUAGAAAUCCAAAAGCUUAUCAAGUAUUGGCCGUUGGAAGUUGUCCAAAGGAAAUAAAAACCAAACUUUGCAUUAAUGAACCUUUAAUGAAAAACGAACACCUUACCUUCCGGGUGCGAGAAAUUUCCAUGGGAUUGCAUCCAAGCCAUCACAUAACAUCCAUACUUUGAGAAACUAAAAGUUUUAGCCAAUCAUCCUCUAAGGAAAAGCCCUCAGAGGCUGUUUGGCUACUAAGAAAAUAGAAAUAGUAAAGAGAAAAGAGAAACGAGAGAGCUCUGUAUAUUUCUAAGUGUAAAACGUAACACCUCUCAUAUAUCUUCCAAGAGGUGAUUUCCACCCCUUAUAUAGUCUUUACAAAAGCAAAAGCUUGUGAUUGGUUACUUACAAGGAUAAGAAAGGAAAUUACAUCAAAAAAUACAUAAGAAAAUAUCUAAAGUGGAGUCGGUAAAAGCAGAGCAAAAUUCGCACCACGCAUGUGCUGUGCGAAUUUUGAAGGUGUUGUGCAAAUUUCGCACAACACAAGGUGUCGUGCGAAAUUUUCGCACAACCUGGAGCGGUUGGAUUCCGAAGGCCAUAUCUUCCUCAUUUCAGCUCCAAAUCAUACACGGUUUGAAGCGUUGGAUUCUUGAAUUCCUGAGCUUUGAAAUGGUAUAUAGCAUGUAAAAAAUGGACUUCGAGAAGUGCUCCAAAAGUGCUAAAGAAGACUGUAGCUGCUGUCCUCUUUGCUUCUCUUCACUUUGCUUGCUUUUCCUCUUUGCUUCUCUUUCUUUGCAUACUUUGAACGACUUUGGAAAAGGGCUAUGGAGCUCCAAAGCUUGGUUCUUCAUGAAUUUGAGCUUCCAAAAGCUUUGCCAUAACUUGUCCAAGUAGCUCCUCCAUCAUUUGGCAUGCUUGAAUUGAUUCAUAAGCUGAUAAAAACAUGUAAACUUGCCACAAAAUGGUUAAAACCAAUUACUAAGGACCUUAAUGAAUUAAUUGGGUUAAAUGAAUAUGAUUAAUACUCAAAGGUGCUUAAAACCAUUAUAAUUAGGUCUACUAAAUAGCACUUUUUGGUAGUAAUCAUGUAGAUUGUCCAACUCAUCUUCUGGAGACACUAUUUGUACUCUUCCUCUUCGAUGUGACAUUCCUACAUAAUAAAGUAAAUUAGAAAAAGUAAUACAAAAUAAGUUUCUCCUGCAAUAUCAUUUCUAUUCCAAUUGAUUAAAUCAUUCUCGACCAACUCAUGCACAUCAUGUUGAUUAUGAAGUGUUAUAAGUUGUUGAUAUGACUCUGAAGCAUUAGUAGAUACUUUCUGAUUCAUAUCAUAAACCUCGUGAGUUUGUAUCUCUAUAACGGUGUGCCAAUUUUCCUCAUUUGAAUUUUGAACAUAGAAGACUUGUUUUGCUUGAGAUGCAAGCACAAAUGGUUCAUCUAUGCAUAUAUGGUACAUUCAAGAUUCAAACACGUGAACCCAUAUUCAUCAUUCUUUAUUCCCCUUCCACUAUUUAUUACAUCCCGCUAGUCACACUUUAAUAAAAUAACUCUAUUUCCACUAAGGUAAUGUAACUCAAUUACAUCAGUUAGCACACCAUAGUAAGAAACAUGACCAGUAAUUGAGUUCUUAUCUCUUGCACUUGUAAAGCUUGAUACCUCUACGGUCACAACAACUCCACUAUUUUGAGUUUUUUUUUUUCCCUUUUCUCGUUCUCUUGUGUGAAAUCUGAACCCAUUAAUGAUGUAUCUUCUAUAACAUGUAACUGAUCUGCUUGGUCCAUGAGACAAUGAUAGUAUGUGUUCAGAAAUUGGACCUUCAUGUCGCAUUUGUAUAAUCUAUAGAUUCAAAUAUAAGAUGUUAAUACAUACAUGUGUAUUAGAUAAUAGAACAAUUUAUGUAGUGAAUGAACUUACACAUUCUUCAAACCAACUAAUGAAUUCUUUUGUGUGAAUCAAAUCUACAUCUCGUGCACGAAUACGAGGCUUAACCCUUAUAUAUUGCUUAUGCUCUCUGAUAAAAAAGAAAAAAAUUAAUUAUAAUGCUCACAAAGACCAAAAUUAAAUUUUUGCAUGAGAAUUAGUAUAAAGUUUUAUUCAAAUAAGUGUCUUACUCAAUAAAUGAUGUCACUUCCUUACAAUUAGUCAAUACAUAUAAAUGUGCUUGGGACCAUUCUUCUGUGCUAACAACACGAGAUGUUGACUUUCCUAUUGUACGUCUCAUGCAUUUGAAAAUGGUUAACCCUCCACUUGUUAUGUUAUUUUCAAUGACAUAAUUUCUUUUUUCAUGAUCAUGCUUCGUUUCAACAUCAUACAAAUAUCUUGAACAAAAGGUUGUACAUUCUUCUGCUAUGUACCCCUCUGCAAUAGAACAUUCUGGACGACUCUUAUUACAAACAUAAGACUUUAAUGUACGUAAAUACCUGUCAUUCCACAACAUGAUAGAUUUGUUUCAUGAACUAUAUGAAACCUAAUAUACAUAAGAUUAAUUGAAUGAGAACAUACCGCUCGAUAGGAUACAUCCAUUGAUAUUGCACUGGUCCAACGACCUUUGCCUCACUUGCAAAAUGAAUAGGUAAAUGUACCAUAACAUCAAAGAAUGAUGGAGGAAAUAUUCUUUCUAAUUUGCAAAGUGUGACUAUUAUAUCAUUCUCAAGGUGCUCUAAUUGAUUAGUGUUUAACACUUUAGAACACAACUGUUUGAAGAAACUACAUAGUUCAACUAUAACAGCAUAAACAUUCUUAUGUAGAACUCUUCGAAUUGCAAGUGGAAGGAGUUGUUGCAUGAGAACAUGACAAUCCACUACAAGAAAAAAGGUCAUUGUUGACAUAUAUUAUCUUGACUUAAGGUGAUAUGUGUCAAUAUUGCCUAUUUAAAUUAACAACUAUGACAUAUACAACUUGUUUAAACCAAUAAUGACAUAUAUAAAAUUUUUUUGAAUUCUUUCAUGACUUAUAUAAUAGAAUCUUGACAGAUAAUUUAUAAGUCAAUGUGUAGUUAGUAUGUUCAUAUGUCAAGGUACUUAUAUAAUGUGGCUAGCUUGACAUAAAAUCAAAAUUCAAGGUAUGAUUUUAAACAUAUAUCCAUUUUAAUUCUAGUAAAAUGAUCUUAAAUGACCUAUGGAUUAUAAGUCAAGAUAUCAUGUUAUAAUUACCUGUCAAGGUUUCCUGUGGUAUUUACAAAGAACACUCCUCAUUUUCUCAAAACCCGAUAUUCAUUUUGAGAGCUUAGGGUUUCAAACUUUUUGCUCUAAACCAAGAAUGAAAAAUCGGUAAUUAUGAAUAUAUCAGUACUUCGAUUUUACGGAUAUAUCAUAAAUAUUGAAAAAAUAUCGGUGGAGCAAAAAUGAUUUAAAAUUUAUAGGAAUGCUUGGAAAAACUCCAAAAAAUGAUAAAAUAAGUAAGAAUUCAUAUUUUAAAGUUAUUUGGUAAAUAUAAUUGAUAUAAAUAUGAUAAAAAAAAAAAACAUCGGUAGAUAGAGAUAUAUCAAUAAAUUUGAUAUUUGAAUUUUAAGAAUAAUAAAUAUGAAUUUUGGAAGUGUAUAAAGUUAGAAUUGAGUUAAGAAAUAUUUGAUUUUAUUGAAAAAAAAAAUUUAUAUAUAAAUAUAAUACAUAUGACAUUGCUAUAGUCUUAGUAUCAAAAUGAAGAUUGAUGUAAUUCCACCAUAUUGUUAGAUGAAGGGAGCCCAUCUUGUUGAAGACAAUAUUUAUUUUUAAAAAUUUAAAAUAUUUUUAUUAAAAUACGUUUUAUUAUAUUUUAAAUGAAAAAUUAAAUUAAUUUAUAUAAAAUAUUUUAUUUGAAAUUUAAUUUCUAAAAUUUUAUUAAAAAUAUGUGAUAACAAAUUUUUCUAUUAAUAUUAAUUUAUUUAAAGAAUUAAGAUUAUUAAUAAUUUAUUUUAUCAAAUUAAUUUUAAUUCAUAAAAUAUCGUCCAUAAAAGCGGAAAUUUCAAUGUGAUUUAAUCAAAAUAAAGAUGGGUAAUUAAUAAUUAUUUAUAUAGAGAGAGGAAAAUUGUUCUCAUGAUCUGUUUCAUUUUUUAUUAUUUUUUAUUUAUCUCUACUAACUAUAAAAAUCAAAAGGGCCACCGCUUCUCUCACUUGGGGCAUCAGGCAUCAAGAAGGCCUUUUCUGAAGUUGUUCUCCAGAAGAGAGAAUCCGCCCUUCUCUACGACUCUCAAUCCUAGCAGGUACUAAUCUAAUCAUGUUAUUAUUGUUUUUUUUUGCAACCCCUGUUUGAUUCCUAAGAAAAUCCACCCCCCAUUCGAUUCCUAGGAAAAUUCAUCCUCGUUUGAUUUUCGAGAAAAUCCAUCCUCGUUUGAUUUUCGAGAAAAUCCAUGCAAAACCCUCAAGGAAAACAAAAAAAAAUUGCUUUUUUUUUUUUACUCCUUGUGUUUUCUGUUUGCAAAACCCCCGUUUGAUUCCCAAGAAAAUCCAUCCCCCAUUCGAUUUCUGGGAAAAUUCAUCCUCGUUUGAUUUCCGAGAAAAUCCGUGUAAAACCCCCAAGGAAAACCAAAAAAAUUGCUUUUUUUUUUUUUUUUUUGCUCCCUGUGUUUUCUCUUUGUAAAACCCCUAUUUAUUCCCAAGAAAAUCCAUCCCCUAUUCGAUUUCCGGGAAAAUUCAUCCUCAUUUGAUUUCCGAGAAAAUUCAUCCUCAUUUGAUUUCCGAGAAAAUCCAUGCAAAACCCCCAAGGAAAACAAAAAAAAUUGCUUUUUUUUUUUUUGCUCCCAGUGUUUUUCUGGAUCUGUUCUAGGGGUCUCUUUGCUUUUGUGCCAUCGGAUUUAAAUUUCACGAACCCUAAAUCCAUGAUUUUUGAGCCAGGCUGAAAAACACAACCUUUGCCUACAAAUCAUGAUCAGACCAUAGCCUAUGAAUUACAUUGGUUGGUUCUAAUUAUUGAACCAACACUCUACCUACCAUGUGAAUGAACCAAUUGACAGGUGGGGAUACAACUUGCCAGUUUUUAAUAAACUUGAAAGAUGUUGAGAAACUAUGGGCCUGUUUGUUUAGUGUUUUCAAGAACUGUUUUCUGUUCUUGAAAACAAAAAACACAAAAAACUCGUUUGGUUGAGAGGGUCGUUUUUGUUUUUGUUGUUUCCCGUGUUCUCAAAAUGGCACUGUUUAGAGAACAACAAAAUGUUGUUUUCCCCGUUUUUUUACUGUUUACAGAACAAAAUUAAACAAAAAAAAACCAUCUGUUCUCCGUGUUUUUUUUUUCUUCCCGUUCUCAUCUCUUCUCUAGCACAGUCUCAGUCUUGAUUCAAGGUUCGUGAAAUUUAAAUCCAAUGGCACAAUAGCAAAGAGACCCCUAAAACGGAUCCAGAAAACACAGGGAGCAAAAGAAAAUCCAUUUUUUUUGGUUUUCCUUGGGGUUUUUGCUUGGAUUUUCUCGGAAAUCAAACGAGGAUGAAUUUUCCCGGAAAUCGAAUUGAGGAUGGAUUUUCUUGGGAAUCAAACGGGGGCUGCAAAAAAAAAUAAUAAUAAUAAUAACAUGAUUAGAUUAGUACCUGCGAGGAUUGAGAGUGACAGAGGAAAAUAGGGCCUUUUAGGGAUUCUCUCGGCUGGAGGGCAACUUCAGAAAAGGGCUUCUUGAUGCCCGAUGGAGGACAACUUCAGAAAAGGGCUUCUUGAUGCCCGAGAGAGAGAGAAGUGGGUGGCAUUUUUAAUUUUUGGUUUUAGUAGAGAUAAAAAAAAAAAUUAACAAAUCACGAGAACAAUUUUAUCUCAAUUUAAUAGAAUAUGCUAUAAUUUUUAAUAAAGUUAAAGAUUAAAUAAAAAAAUAUUAAUAAAAAUAAUUUUAUUAUGUUUGAUUUAUUUUAAAAAAGUAUAAAAAAUAUUUUUAUUUUUAAAUUAAUAAAAUAAAUAAUUUUUUUAAUUUAAAUGAACUAUAUAUCUAAAAAUUAUUUAUAAAUUUAUAAUAUAAAAUUACUUGAAGAAAAUAUUUUAUUAAUUAGAAAAGAAAAAAAAAACAUCUUUCAAACGUGUCUUUUGUUUUAUUUGUUCUAAAUUUUUUUUUUAUUAACUCAACCAAACAUGUUUUUUUGUUUUUGAGAACAAAAACUGUUUUUUAGAAUUCAGUUCCCAAACAUAAUUUUUUUUUAAAAAAACCCCAAAAACUGUUCUCAAAAACUAUUUUCCAGAACAGUUUUCAAAAACAGCAACCAAACAGGCCCUAUUACUUCACUAAAUUUCUUCUUAUGUAAGAUUUGGGCUUGUGGAGGUGGAGUUUAUGGAUUAAAUGUGUGAAAUCAGGUUAGCAAGGCUCUCCUUGCAGAAUAUAUCACAGUGCAGAAGAGGAAUAGACCAUUUAAAGGACUGGGAUUAGAAUACAUGAACAAAUCUUGCCCUGUCGUUCCAUCUCAGCUCACAAGUUCUACCCUCAGAAGUAGCCAAUUCCAGGUAAUGUAAUUGUAGCUUCAUUAGCAGCAAUUUGGUUAGUCAAUGAAGUAGAGAGAAAUUUCUUACUCCCUUGAUUUGGCUAUCAGACUGAUAUAUUCUGCCUGAGGGAGCGAGAUCUAUUGAUCUAUUUUGCUGUUGAGAUAUCACAGCUUUAAGCACAGAGCUUAAGCAAAGAGUAUGCACUUCUUCAGGUUAGGAUCUUCGCAUUAACUUGAGUUUUCUCUCUUUCUCUCUGUAUAUCACUCUCGCAAUUUUUUUCCUUUCCUGCACCAAAGUUAUCAACUUGCAGAAGACUUGGGGAGAGCUUUCUCGGAUCGAGCAAUUUUGCAGACCUUUUUAGAUGCUGAGGUAGCUGUGUCUUCUAGUUUACUUAAGGUAAAUAUCGGUACAUUUUUUUCAUAAAUAUAAGUAACUCUACCAAUCAAAAAAAUGUCAGCAUAAGGAAGGUACAAAAUGCUGGAUGUGAAUAAGUAUUGCACGGUUUAUCCAUAUCUGGGUUUGGGGGAAAAUGGGAUGAAGACUAAAAGAGAUUAUAGGAUUUAUACAUUCCAAAAAAGUGCUGAUUAAGGAAACUUAAGUUAUGAGUGUAAGUAGUAGCUUCUGCUUUUGUUUUAUACAUAUCAUUGAUACAGAUGUAGCAGUCUUGUUGCUUUCUUAGCGAUUGAACCUUCAGCAUGCUAAAAACCCUGAUAUGCUUAUCAGAAUUAGAUAUAAUAUGGGAUUUUUGUGUAAUGGCAUUUUGAGUGACAAUUUCCCUAUUUUUUCUGCUGUGUAACAUAUACAACUAUCCUUAUUUCCAGCUUAAGCAUUUGUAGAACAAUGAUGAAGUGAUGCAAACCCAAUUGCUAAUUGUUUUUGCGUUUUUUUUCCCUAUGCAGAGCAUGUUAAGUCUGUUAAGAUCCAUGCAUGUCUUGAUUAUCUUGGAAGAAUGUGCUUCCUUCCUCCGAUAUGGUUACUUGUCACCCGACAAUGCUGUUGGAAUUAGGAAAGAAGUAACAAUACUCUGUAGUGAAUUACGACCACAUGCCCUUGCCUUGGUCAGCUCAUUUGGCAUCCCUAACGCAUUUUUUAGCCCAAUUGCUUUCAAUUGGAUCAAUGCAAAUUCUUGGUCGUCGGUUCAGCCCCAACAAGGGGCCACAGUUCCUCUCUAGAUUUAGAUGAAUCAAAACUUAUACUGCCUGUGGCUUUCUAGAUUCACUAUUAUUGUCUAAUAAAGGUGUAGUAGCUAGCUUGCUAUUAAAAUUCUUCAUAAAGGUUGAUAUUUGAUUGCUCCUCAUUAUACAUUUUUCUUUUUAAUUUGUUAAUAUGCUCUAUAUUUUUUGCUACAAAUUCGAAGUUUGGGUGUUGGAAAUUUAAGGCUUUCCUAUAAAGUAAUGCUUCAAGAUGGAAGCAAGAGACUUGGUUGUAGAUAUAUACAUGAGCAACUUAAUUUAAGUUUAUGUAUAUUGUCUUAUAGUGUGUUUUUAAUUUCAUUGUAUAUUAUAUGAGUUUCUUCUAUAUAGAGAAAUUAGGGAUAACUUUAAACAAGUUCAUUGAUUUGUGCUUUAAUUAAUAAUUAAAUGUAUAUUAAAUAUGUUUUGAUUAUAUAUAAAAUCAUGAUAAUUUGAUUGUCAU